UGGCUGGGGGCUACUCGUCGCUGGCGGGCAGCCGGGAGGCCGAGAGGGCUCUGAUAAAGAUCAAAACCAGAUUCCUGGCAAAGCAGGAGCAAGGAUGGCAAUAAACUGCCUGGAGUGCUUCCUGCCUUCUCGCAGAGAUUCUGCAUGAACCCUUCCGGAUCGCUUGUCUUCGCCGCGCUUUGUGUGGGUGCUUCUACUUCCAGCCGAUUCUCAUCAUUCAUGGCAGUUAUGUUCUACAAAGUCCCUGCGCACCCGGAACCAUUGUUUCUGGGGGAAAUGCAAGGGUAGGUUCCUGGGAGCCCCUGGUGACAUUUUCAUCAACCCAUCAAUACAUAACCUUGUUGUCA